CUGCAAGCCUCCAGGGUGCUUGGGUCUGGAGUGGCCCUGUGUAUUCCUACAGUGCUUGUAAGAACAGUUUUGAAACAUUUUGAGGCCUUGCUCUACACCAAUUACAGAGCAAAGUUAUAGAAAUUUCAGACAAUU